rnacentral:rRNA from 1 species
UGGGGAAUAUUGGACAAUGGGGGAAACCCUGAUCCAGCGAUGCCGCGUGAGUGAUGAAGGCCUUCGGGUUGUAAAGCUCUUUCAGUGGGGAAGAUAAUGACGGUACCCACAGAAGAAGGACCGGCUAACCUCGUGCCAGCAGCCGCGGUAAUACGAGGGGUCCUAGCGUUGUUCGGAAUUACUGGGCGUAAAGGGUGCGUAGGCGGUUUAUUAAGUCUGAUGUGAAAUCCCCGAGCUUAACUUGGGAACUGCAUUUGAUACUGGUAAGCUAGAGAUUGGAAGAGGUGAGUGGAAUUCCUAGUGUAGAGGUGAAAUUCGUAGAUAUUAGGAGGAACACCGGAGGCGAAAGCGGCUCACUGGUCCAAUACUGACGCUAAGGCACGAAAGCGUGGGGAGCAAA